UACGUAGGUGGCAAGCGUUGUCCGGAAUUAUUGGGCGUAAAGCGCGCGCAGGCGGUCCUUUAAGUCUGAUGUGAAAGCCCACGGCUCAACCGUGGAGGGUCAUUGGAAACUGGGGGACUUGAGUGCAGAAGAGGAAAGCGGAAUUCCACGUGUAGCGGUGAAAUGCGUAGAGAUGUGGAGGAACACCAGUGGCGAAGGCGAGUCUCUGGACGACUCCUGACACUGAGGCACGAAAGCUAGGGGAGCAAACAGG
rnacentral:rRNA from 1 species